UGUGUCAUUUGGUUCGGCCAUGUAGCGCCUGCGUCGAUAUGAAGUUGAAUUGGAGGAUGCCGGUGUAGUGUUAGCCUCAGUUCAACUUCAUAUCGACUCAGGCACUACAUUACCUAACCAAAUGACACA